rnacentral:lncRNA from 1 species
GGUGUAUAAAAUAAUUUUGUGUUUUAUUUUCUAUUUCGUCAAAAAACAUGGCCGUCAUGGCUAAAAAUAAAACACAGAGUAAAAUGCAGUUUUUGGCUUAUAUCUCAAAAAAUCCAGCAUUUAGAGCAAAUAAGACAGGAAAGUUAAAGUAUUUAUUAGGUCAAGGUCUACCUGUCCUGAAAUUUUCAGCCGAAUUGGGAAACUGGUUUUUCAGGUAUAAUGCCCCUGAAUUGAUGAUUUUUAAGAAAUUUUGCAGUGUUUGGUUAUUAUCUUGAAUAUUAUUAUAGAUACAGAUAAACUGUUAAUAGCAAUUGUAUUGUGAAUCAUCAGAUUGACCUAGACUGUAUCUGAAUCAAGUGUAGGGCGAACUCAUACCCAUUUCUUUCCAGAGGUUCAUAAGAGGCUUUAAAAGGUAUUUCCAGGAUAGUACAUGACCUUUGUUACUCUGUUUAAUUUACAACAAACAUUAAUUUAUUAAUUUAGUUAAUAAGGCAUUGUUUACCAGGUGAGCGAUUCAGGCUCUUGAGAGCCUCUUGUUUAUUUUAUUCAAUCCAUCAAUUGAUAUACAUUAUUCUUAUAUUUACCUUCUCUGUUUUAUCCCCUUCUGUGGUAAAUUAAUUGAGUGUGGAUUCGUAUGGUUAUGGAGAAAAAAAGAUUCUCUGAUCUACAAUUUACCGAUUUUGUCCAACUCCUGGCAUAACAAUUAUUGAUUCGUAUAACGGUUGAUGCAUACCAAGCUAGAGAUGUUCAUUAACUCUUUCAAAGCACCCGGUCGUCAGUUAAUAUGAUUCCAUACUGGCAUCUCAUACGUCCUCGUGAACUGAAUAUCAAAGUCUUAUGAAACGAUUAUUCUUAUAGUUAUAAAGUUUUAAAAGUAUGGAACAUGUACUUAACUCAUUUUUAUUUCAUUAUCAUUUAUAAAGAAUCUCUAAAGGGGUAUAACCUGUCAAAUGCAUGUUCACCGAUUUAACUCAAAUCUCAUAUUUGUUUAAUACUAAAACACGUAUCUAAAUAAUAAAAAUAGCUAAAAUAAGCAAUUUACCAUGCAUGUACUUGAUAAUAUGUAUAAGCAUUUCGUGUGUAUUUUAUUUGAGAUCUUAAUGACAAUCGAGGUGACCUCAUAAGACCGCCGAAGGUCAUACAAUCGAAUACAGACAUGAAUAAAGCAAUAAAUAAAUAGAUAGAGAACUCGUGCUAUUUAAUUUUUCAAGGUCUGUUUGAUUUUAUAUUAUAGGUUAUGAAAAUAUCUUAGUCAUCGUGUUUACCUGUAUGAGAUUGGAUUUCGUGGGUCGAUUCGGUCAACCAAAUGUGUUAUCCUUGUUUCACUUUCAUAUCGAAUAAUUGAUCUUCGAUGUUUGUUAUCUUGUUUUUAUCAAAUUGUAUCAAAAUGUCUAAUAAAAAAUGGAAAUAGU